GUUUGUUUGUUUUUAUUGGUUUAAAUUGAAGUGUUCAGAUGAUAAGAACUCUUACAAGCAUCUUAUGUACUAGUGGGCCAUAAAUAUUGACAUCCCUCAGCUUUUAGAUCCACGGUCAUGUGAUUGCGCGCUGAAAACGCCUGAGUUUUACAGAAUAAUAAAACUGCAGCAUCUGGUCUUCUGUCACAUUUCAGACAGCUAUUCAUUUUCUUUUGUUAAGCCGUCAUGUGGCGCAACGGCUAAUAUUGUCGUUAACGGCGCAGCCGAUUUGUGGUCAUUUCUCCGACAACUCGCGUUCCUGGUGUUAGCCGACAGAUCCGGCGCUCUGACACGUCGAACACAAACACGAGUAAUGAAAUUUCCGUGCCAUUACAGAAGCGAGUGAGCAUCCCUGUCUCCCUGGUGUCUUUAGACUGGAGGAGAUGUUAAUUAAGACGGGUAAUUACGCUAGCAGCGUGAAGCACAUUCACGUUUUCUUCCUCCGAUGGAGCGCAAAUUUCGCCACCGCGGUACAAUUACGCUUUUUCCAGUGGCCUUUUCACAGUGUCCAUGUAUCUCGGAAUGAAAUCAGAAUCUCUUUUACAGCACGCACGAACGCAUCUCACUUACGGGGGAAUUUGACCGCGCUGAUUUUUCUGUCCAUAUUUAAUAGAAGGCAAGAAGGAAAAACUUUCUGCUCCUCUCACUGAAUAUUAACAUUAUUUAACAUGCAUUUUUUUUUCUUCCUCAAUUCAUUAAUCUCCUAAUCAGAACACACAUUUUGCAUCAUUUCACCGAUGUUUACAUUAUUUAUCUUUAGUUAGAGGUGUUACAGAAUUCUGGAAGAAGUGAGGAGACGCUUAUUUAACAUUUAUGGAAGGAGUCUCCAGUGUCAGCGCUUUGGAACAGUCUGAGGUCAGCGUCUCUCCAUCACGCCUCAUCAUUCCUCACUUCCACUGAACGAGGGCGCCUCUCUAGGGGACGUCUCUAGGGGAGGAAUAUUUGAACAGAUGAAUUGAGGACCGUCUCUCUUGGGAGUCCUGGAUUUUCUGAGCGAGCAAUAGAGAAAGAAGAGCAAAAAGGGAAUUGAAGAGGGAGGAAGUGAGAGAUAAAGAAUGGAGAGGGGUAAUGACUUCACAGAGACCCAUCAUCACCACCCCUUAUUCCCUCUGAGGCUGAAUAGUGAACGAGGGCAACUCUCCAGGGGACGAAAAUUCGAACAGAUGUGUCGAGGUCUUUCUGAAAAGAGAGGAACUCGAGUGAUUCUGUUUGUUCUGGGCCUCUAGCUGCAGGUCCUGUUUGCUCAGUUCCUGAUUGCUAAGUGGACCAUAAAGUCUGAUUCGGUUCAUCAUUGAUUCAAAUGUUUUUAACCCUAAACAAGCUGUUUAAAUUUUUUUUAAUGAUGUUGAAAUCUCAGUUCUCUCUCUCGCUCUCUCUCUCUCUCUUCAUUCUCUCGCUCUCUCUUCAUUCUCUCCCUGGUUUUGAUUGAUUUAUUUUGUGGGUUUUUUUUUUCUUCUUCCAUUUUUUAAUUAAAUAUCUUAUCAGCC
ensembl:lncRNA